ACAAAUUUGUCGAAGCCAAGACGUCAUGUCUCAGAAACCCUUUUAAUGCUCAGUUUCCACAUUCUAGUUCUUGUCUCACUCUCUGGCGAGUUACUUUCUGAACACCCUCCCACCACGCUGCCUGCUACUCUGACUGCUGCCGGCUUCUGCCUAAUGGAAUUGUACGUCCCCUAAAGUACCAGGAGGAGAGGAAUAAACUACAUGCCUCAAGGAGAAUGCUGUCAGUGGCAAGCCACAGAAAACUAUCACAAUGUCCCAUACAAGACAGGGUUGAAGGCUAAGUUGGAUACCACGAUGCUUUGCCCAGAUCCCCCGUCAGGGAUGAAGAACUUAGUCCUCCUAUUUUUGGAGUGCCACUGGCAGAUAGCCCUUAGCUGCUGGCCUUCUGUGGAAAUGGUCUUGGCUGGAAACCAUAUAGCCCAAGAUCACACCCUCCCCAGGGCCAUCUGCAUCCCAGGACUGACUGAUGUAGAGGUGUUGGUUCCAAAAGCACUUCCUAAUGAAAUUCCUGCACGCUGAUCUCCUUUACACAGUCGGCUUCUCAAGAACCGCAACUUGUGCAUUUGGUGGCAGAAGUGGUCUGAGAGCUGAAACUAAUAUCAGUUUCAGUGACUUCUUCCAGAAUUUUAUCAUCAUGACAGCUUAAAAGUACUUUCUCAUGUUAGACUUAAAACUCCCCUGUUUCACCAGUCUCCAAGAUAUCUGAAUUGAAAAAAGUAAGAUAUAGAAAUGUUGUAUAUUGUGAGCUUCCACUUGUGAAAAAAAAGAAAAAGAGGGUAGAGAACACAUUUACAUACAGGCUGAUAUGUGCAUAGAAUAUCUUUUUAAGGAAAUACAAGAAACCUGUAAUAGAAGUUGCCUUGAAAGAGAAGAUCAGGGGUCUAGCGGCAGGGGACUGACUUACUAUUUACUGUAAGCCCUUUCACGGUAUCCUAAUUUCUAUUAUGUGCUGUACGGUUUUGUUUUGUUUUGUUUUGUUUUGUUUUGUUUUGUUUUGUUUUGUUUUGUUUUGUUUUUAAGGCUGGAAACAAAAUAAGACAAAAUGGUAAUGGUUGCCAAUUCUGGGUGGUAGGAAUGUGGGUUUUGUUGUAUUGGUUCCAAUUUUCUGUAGUUUUAAAAUUAAAGCGUU